rnacentral:lncRNA from 1 species
CAAAAUUGUCACAAUGGAACAGUGAGAAGAGAAUGGCACCCAACCAACCAGAGUCCAAAGCCCACCUCUCCCAUUUAUCUAUUGAACGGCCCUGGGGAGGUCAUUUCACCUCUCUGAUCUCCAGUUUUCUCUUGUUCUCAUCUGACCUCUAGAGCUACACUGUCCAAUAUGGCGGCCACCAGCCACUUACGGCUCUUCAGCACUUGAAAUGCCAAAGGUUGCAAUGCAAAAUACUACUGGACUCUGAAGGGUGGAACCUCCAGGAGGACAGGCCUGACUCUCUUGUCCUCAAGUUUCCCAUACGCUGAGACGUGACGGGGUUAUCCGGGGAACGACGCGCUUGACACUCUGGCGGGGGCAACGGUGGAUGC